AGCUUUGCAUAGUGGCAGUAUUGUGGCCAAUGAGGUUUAUCUGAGGCGUGAUUAUUGGUAAUUGAAAACUUUUCCCAAUACCUCGCCAUGAAGAUUUGAAAUAUAGUCGGCAUUGGCAAUUUUUGACAGUCUCUAUAGAGA
rnacentral:snRNA from 1 species